rnacentral:rRNA from 1 species
CCAAUAGCGUAUAUUAAAGUUGUUGCAGUUAAAAAGCUCGUAGUUGAAUUUCGGGAUCAGUACGCUGGUCAUGCCUUUGGUAUGCACUGGUGUCACUGGUUUCUCCCUUCUGAAGAACCGUGAUGUCAUUAAUUUGGUGUCGCGGGGAAUCAGGACUGUUACUUUGAAAAAAUUAGAGUGUUUAAAGCAGGCUUACGCUUGAAUACAUUAGCAUGGAAUA